UUUUGCAGAUGAUGAUGAUAACUAUGAAGAAGGCUCCGUGUGUGGCUACUGUUCUCUCUGUAAGCAUUGUGAUAAGUGUGACAAAUGCCCAUGUGAAAAGGGAGACAAGAGCCCACACUGUGAAAUAUGCCAGGACUGCCAGUAUUGUUAUAUAUGCCCAGUGUGUGAAACAGUCUGCAAACCAGGAAGCUAUGCCGAUGAGCUGACAGGUACUUUGUACCAGUCCAUUGUGAAUAUCUUUGGACGAAGGGAGAAUUAAACAGUAAUUGUGCAGUACACCAGAUGCUGGAUCAUCAUCCAGUGUUUGCCAGAAGAGGACAUUUUUGAACUGAGAUCCUGUGGCUUCAAGACAUUAGAAAAUGUGGUAUUUCAGAACUGUCACUUAAUGUGAAAACUAAAAAUAUUGGAUAUGUGAACUUUCUCAUAGGUCAUUUUCACCAUUGUAAUUGGCCUUACUUAGGACUGACUUGGGAAAUUUUAUUGUAAAAGCAAAGCACACUAAUGUGCCACUCAAUGUGCAUUAUAUUGCUGCAUUCAGUUUUCUGUACCAAUGAUUAGGAUAUACCAACAUGCUGAUAAGACAAAGACCAAUCAGCUCAGAGAAAAGAUGUAACCUUGGCCAAACCAUAUCAUAAUUCUUAGAGUAAUAAGGACAAAACUAACAAACAUCAUAUAUAUUUGCUCUUGUUUUUAAAUGCUUUCCUUGGUGAUUUUGUAUAGACAGACAAUUUUUAUCAAGUUAUUAGAUCAUGCCCCCUUCCCCUAAACAUGUUGCAGGACUGAGCAUACAAGCUAUGUAUAUAUCUCAUUUGCAGACAUGCAGUCAAAGUUUUAGCUGUUGUAUAUUUGAAGAUAAUAAGUAUGUGUUAUUGUAUACUACGAUGAAAGCUGCAGUAAGUGACCAAUAUAGAAAAGUAACGGUAGUAUGUCAAUACUGCAUGGUGUGCAAAACCCAAAUGGAAAUGGCAUGUAGUCUUAAGCUGUUAUUAUGUACUAGGUUGAAGACUGUUAGUAAGCAAUGCAGAAAAGACGCAACAGUAUUCCAUCAGUACUGCAUGGUAUGUGAACCCUAAAGGGAAAGGAGAUGCAGCCUUAAGCCUCAUAUUUCUGGCAGGACUCUCCUAUUCUCAAAAGCUAUGUACCGUUUUGUUUUUUCAGAUUUAUGUUUUAUUUAGAAAGUGAUACCAGUAAUAGUAUAUGUGAGUUAAAGAAUUAAUCCUGGCUAUGAUUUCAUUACAUUUUCAUGAGUAAAGAGCAGAAAAGAUAAAAAUGAAAAGAAAAAAAGGAAGCAACUCCAUAUAAAACGGUGAAAUGCCUGGGCCCUUACCAGAACAUCAGCACUCUAAACAUUUGCUCAAAACUAUUUACUGCUGAAAGGCUAAAAUAUGGCUUGGAGAUUCUGCCAGCAAUAAUCGAGCUUCAUUUGACUAUAUAUUUCACCAUAUACUGCAGAUCUAUUCACCCGCCACACUGUUUUUUUUUAAACAAACCUGACUAUAUGCUUUACUUCCUUUUUAUUGGUGAAUGCAGACAACUGUCCAUGUGCAGAACCAGAAUACUUGUGGUGAUGUCAGCUCUGUAUGACCCAUGUAAUAAUAUAUAAUAACAUCACAGGACCAGUGCGGGAGCACUCUGGCUGUUGCAUCUGUUGCAUAGAUGGUCAUCCCUCACAGUGUAAAUUAUGGGGCCAUGACGAAUCAAUUAAUUGUAAGACUUUAGUGAAGGGAGAUGCCAGCCUAGAGACCAAAACAAAAUUCCAAGGAUCAAGACAUAGAGUAUUGUAAUAUCAUUUCAUUUUACUUCAUUUUGUUCUAUAUUGCAAAUGUUGGGCUGCUUCUUCAGGCAUGGUUUAAUAGCUGUGUGUUACAUUCUCCAUGUUUCUUUUAUGGAGCUGCACAUAAUUCUCUUCCAAGGACAUACAUGUUGAUAAACUACAGGGAAGCCAGCUACAUUUGUUUUUUUGCCACAUGAGCCUGAUGACGGAACUCAUUUCCAUUACUACUUCAGCUUACAAGGUUGGUGACAAAUAAUCUGUGUUUAGUUCACAGCUACAUUUGGAUGACUGGGACAUUAGAUCCAGUAUAGUUCACCCAUCUCAAAAGUGGGUCCUCAAAAUGCAUUUCCUAAAUUAAAAUUUUUAUUGUUAAUUUUGGAAUUAAGAACUAAUUACUAUGCUGUAUUUACAAAUGUCAUUCUAUUUCUGUACAAAAGACUACUAAGGUGGCAAAAGAACACAUUUUAGGUGUUUAAAAUACAUCUGCUUACCACAAGGAAUUUAGAGUAUUAUAGUUAUUAAUGCAUAUUUUAUAAUUUUUAUCACAGAUGCAGUUAUAUUUCUACCAUCUACAUCAAAUAAUUAGGAAUAUAUUAUAUAGCAGGUGUGUUUCCCUGAUUUUCCAUUUUGUAUCAAAAGGCAAAAGAAGCCAAAACUCUUGAAUGUAUGCACAUGAAGUCAUCAGUAAUUGCAGUUCUAAAGUCCUGAGAAACAAAAUAAACAGAGAUGAUACCGAUGUAAAGAGAAAGCAGUUAAAAUUAUAUGUAAAGAAAGUCUGAUAAAUUUUACUUCCUUUAUUGCUGAGUACAUCUUGCAAAACUUCUAGAAUAUUAUUGCUCCACUGUCCUCAUGUCCUAAUCCCGCCCCGUUUUUUUCUGCAACCAAGGAACACAAAAUCAAAUUUGUGUAAAAUAUGUUCUCAUUGUUGUACAGAUAUAUGUUGCGAGUCAAGCACAUUACCCAUAAUGCCAUUUUUGGGAAAAUAUAAUCUGUUUUAGAAAAUGAGUGAAAUACUUCUCUGAGAGUAUAGAACAGCUGUGCAAUGUGUAGCUAAGGAAUUGGACUCACUUAGGCAAUUCUUAACAACCACACCAGAAGCACUCAAUGGACUUUGCGGUCACCCUAACCACCUCACAUUUUGUAGGACAAAUCAAUUGAAUAAAGUGACCUUAACAAAUCAACAUUGUGUUAUUACGUAUUAGAAAACAAAAUAUACAAUGAAAUGGAAUCAGCUAUGUGAUGUUUCCUGAAUGAUGUAGUAUUACCUGAGCCAACAUUGUUGAUUUGGUAGAUGACAUUGUAUUCCAAAACUUUAAAACAUUGAGUGUCAGUAGUGUAAAACAUUCAGAUAUUGUAUACUUAUUAGAGAAAUUACUGCAUAUUACUAAGUACAUUAGGUUUAAUUUUCUUCAAAAAGACAAGCCUAGUUUUAUGCAAUAGAAUUCUAAGAGCUAUCACUGAUAGUGCCUGAAUUCUUGCAGUGAAUGAAUAUGUAUUUGCAUUGUCAAAGUUUUGUACCAAUUUGUCGAUGAAAUGCUAUUCACCUGACCUCUAGAAAAUGGCACAGUGCGAUAAACCAGCAUUUUAUGCCAUCCUCUUAAAGCCAUCCCAGGAACCUGUAAAAGCAUUAAACUAAAAAG